rnacentral:rRNA from 1 species
GAUGAACGCUGGCGGCGUGCCUAAUACAUGCAAGUCGAGCGAACAGAUAAGGAGCUUGCUCCUUUGACGUUAGCGGCGGACGGGUGAGUAACACGUGGGUAACCUACCUAUAAGACUGGGAUAACUUCGGGAAACCGGAGCUAAUACCGGAUAACAUUUGGAACCGCAUGGUUCUAAAGUGAAAGAUGGUUUUGCUAUCACUUAUAGAUGGACCCGCGCCGUAUUAGCUAGUUGGUAAGGUAACGGCUUACCAAGGCAACGAUACGUAGCCGACCUGAGAGGGUGAUCGGCCACACUGGACCUGAGACACGGUCCAGCCUCCUACGGGAGGCAGCAGUAGGGAAUCUUCCGCAAUGGGCGAAAGCCUGACGGAGCAACGCCGCGUGAGUGAUGAAGGGUUUCGGCUCGUAAAACUCUGUUAUUAGGGAAGAACAAAUGUGUAAGUAACUGUGCACGUCUUGACGGUACCUAAGCAGAAAGCCACGGCUAACUACGU